UCAAAGAAUCAAGGUCUCCUGAACGCGGGGCACAGAUUAAAUUUCAUCUUUGUUUUCACGAUUUCCCUCAAAACAAAACCCAGAUCCUCUUCCCUGCCAUAAUUUUUCUUCGCCCUAGCUCUUCUUCGCCUUUGUUCGUCUCCGUCGUAGCUUCUGCCACCGCAGUUCCUCUUGUCGCCGCCAUAUCUCUUCCUCAACGAAGGGCAGCAAUACUCUAUUUUCGCUUCUCAUAAACCCAUAGUGCUAUCUCAAAGUUUUUUAUGCUAAGGAAGUGUCAACUUUAUCUUGCUGGAUUUCUUCACAUAAUUGAGGCUCUUGCAGAUGAGGGUUAUAAAAGAAGAACUUGGUGAUAAUGAGGAUGAUGAGGAUGACCUGAUUGCCCUUAAAAGGAAUAUGCAGAAAGCAGGAAUGCCACCAAAUGUAUGGAAACAUGCACACAGAGUUGAGGAGGCUUAAAAAAAUGCAGCCUCAGCAACCUGGGUAUAACAGUUCGCGGGUUUACCUUGAUCUUCUUGCCGAUCUGCCCUGGAAGAAGGCCAGCGAAGAGAUUGAAAUGGACUUAAGAGCUACACAAAAGCGACUGGACAGUGAUCACUAUGGUUUAGUGAAGGUCAAGCAAAGAAUUAUUGAAUACCUAGCAGUUCGCAAGACUUGGGUUAGUUCAAUUGAGGCUGCUCAACAAUAACUAUCGUAAUUGCAAGGAAGUUUGGAUUACCGUGUUACGGAGGAAAGUUUGAUGGAUCGCGUAGAUAUCAAUAUGCAUGAAGCAUGCCUGCAGAUUGACAAAGAAUGCAGGUUAGUAGAAAAGUUGUUUGAUCUCUCCUGCUGCAGCCUUUUGUUUCUAGUUCCAUUUAUUUAUUCGUCAAGUUAUUGAACAUGAGUGUGGAUGUUAGAGUUUCACAAAAGUAUUUGUAAAACUAAAGCAAUCAAAAGCAUGAUAUCUCUCUUUUAUUCAUCAGGUUCUUUAGGAAGUGUAUUGUGAUUUUGUUAGUUUUAUGUGUGUAAUUACUUAUUGAUUAAUCAAAAGUAUGAUAUCUCUCUUUUAUUCAUCAGGUUUGUGAUUUUGUAAAACUAAAAAUAUUUGCAGUAUCAUGUUCUUGAUUUUUAAUUUAGGAUUGGAUGUAUCAGUUC